GCUCAGAUUGAACGCUGGCGGCAGGCCUAACACAUGCAAGUCGAGCGGUAGAGAGAAGCUUGCUUCUCUUGAGAGCGGCGGACGGGUGAGUAAUGCCUAGGAAUCUGCCUGGUAGUGGGGGAUAACGUUCGGAAACGGACGCUAAUACCGCAUACGUCCUACGGGAGAAAGCAGGGGACCUUCGGGCCUUGCGCUAUCAGAUGAGCCUAGGUCGGAUUAGCUAGUUGGUGAGGUAAUGGCUCACCAAGGCAACGAUCCGUAACUGGUCUGAGAGGAUGAUCAGUCACACUGGAACUGAGACACGGUCCAGACUCCUACGGGAGGCAGCAGUGGGGAAUAUUGGACAAUGGGCGAAAGCCUGAUCCAGCCAUGCCGCGUGUGUGAAGAAGGUCUUCGGAUUGUAAAGCACUUUAAGUUGGGAGGAAGGGUUGUAGAUUAAUACUCUGCAAUUUUGACGUUACCGACAGAAUAAGCACCGGCUAACUCUGUGCCAGCAGCCGCGGUAAUACAGAGGGUGCAAGCGUUAAUCGGAAUUACUGGGCGUAAAGCGCGCGUAGGUGGUUUGUUAAGUUGGAUGUGAAAUCCCCGGGCUCAACCUGGGAACUGCAUUCAAAACUGACUGACUAGAGUGUGGUAGAGGGUGGUGGAAUUUCCUGUGUAGCGGUGAA
rnacentral:rRNA from 1 species